rnacentral:rRNA from 1 species
CCUACGGUUGGCAGCAGUGGGGAAUAUUGCGCAAUGGGCGAAAGCCUGACGCAGCGACGCCGCGUGAGGGAUGAAGGUCUUCGGAUCGUAAACCUCUGUCAGCAGGGAAGAAAGGUCACGGUGCUAAUCAGCAGUGAAUUGACGGUACCAGCAAAGGAAGCACAGGCUAACGCCGGGCCAGCAGCCGCGGGAAUACGGAGGGUGCGAGCGUUAAUCGGAAUUACUGGGCGUCACGCGCUCGUAGGCGGUAUGUCCAGUCAAGGGUGAAAUCCCCUCGCUCACCGUGGGAACUGCCUUUGAAACUGGCAACCUGGAGUGUGUUAGAGGCUAGUGGAAUUCCAGGUGUAGUCGUGACAUCCGUCGAUAUCUGGAGGAACAUCAGUUGCGAAGGCGACUUUCUGUCCCAUACCUGACGCUG